rnacentral:rRNA from 1 species
UACGGAGGGUGCAAGCGUUAAUCGGAAUUACUGGGCGUAAAGGGCGCGUAGGUGGCUCGGUAAGUCGGAUGUGAAAUCCCUGGGCUUAACCUGGGAACUGCAUUCGAUACUGCCGGACUCGAGUACAGUAGAGGAGAGCGGAAUUCCCGGUGUAGCGGUGAAAUGCGUAGAUAUCGGGAGGAACAUCAGUGGCGAAGGCGGCUCUCUGGACUGAUACUGACACUGAGGCGCGAAAGCGUGGGUAGCAAACAGG